GGGAAGAGCUCAAAUUUGAAAUCUNGGCGGCCUCAGGUCGUCCGAGUUGUAGUCUAGAGAGGUGUUUUCCGUGUCGGACCAUGUACAAGUCCCUUGGGAUGGGGCGUCAUAGAGGGUGAGAAUCCCGUCCAUGACAUGGACUCCCGAUGCUUUGUGAUGCGCCUUCGAAGAGUCGAGUUGUUUGGGAAUGCAGCUCAAAAUGGGUGGUAAAUUCCAUCUAAAGCUAAAUACAGGCGAGAGACCGAUAGCGAACAAGUACCGUGAGGGAAAGAUGAAAAGCACUUUGGAAAGAGAGUUAAACAGUACGUGAAAUUGUUGAAAGGGAAACGCUUGGAGUCAGUCGCGUCGGCCGAGGCUCAACCUUGCUUCUGCUGGGUGCACUUCUCGGUCGAUGGGCCAGCAUCAAUUUUGGCCGUCGGAUAAAGGCUUGGGGAAUGUGGCACCUCCGGGUGUGUUAUAGCCCCUUGUUGCAUACGUCGGCUGGGAUUGAGGACUGCAGCACGCCUUGCGGUUGGGGUUCGCCCACACCACGUGCUUAGGAUGCUGGCGUAAUGGCUUUAAGCGACCCGUCUUGAAACACGGACCAAGGAGUCU
rnacentral:rRNA from 1 species